rnacentral:rRNA from 1 species
GACGAACGCUGGCGGCGUGCCUAAUACAUGCAAGUUGAGCGCUGAAGGUUGGUACUUGUACCGACUGGAUGAGCAGCGAACGGGUGAGUAACGCGUGGGGAAUCUGCCUUUGAGCGGGGGACAACAUUUGGAAACGAAUGCUAAUACCGCAUAAAAACUUUAAACACAAGUUUUAAGUUUGAAAGAUGCAAUUGCAUCACUCAAAGAUGAUCCCGCGUUGUAUUAGCUAGUUGGUGAGGUAAAGGCUCACCAAGGCGAUGAUACAUAGCCGACCUGAGAGGGUGAUCGGCCACAUUGGGACUGAGACACGGCCCAAACUCCUACGGGAGGCAGCAGUAGGGAAUCUUCGGCAAUGGGCGAAAGUCUGACCGAGCAACGCCGCGUGAGUGAAGAAGGUUUUCGGAUCGUAAAACUCUGUUGGUAGAGAAGAACGUUGGUGAGAGUGGAAAGCUCAUCAAGUGACGGUAACUACCCAGAAAGGGACGGCUAACUACGU